AACGAACGCUGGCGGCAGGCCUAACACAUGCAAGUCGAGCGAGGACUUCGGUCCUAGCGGCGGACGGGUGAGUAACGCGUGGGAACGUGCCCUUUGUUUCGGAAUAGCCCUGGGAAACUGGGAGUAAUACCGGAUGAGCCCUUUGGGGGAAAGAUUUAUCGGCGAAGGAUCGGCCCGCGUUGGAUUAGGUAGUUGGUGGGGUAAUGGCCUACCAAGCCGACGAUCCAUAGCUGGUUUGAGAGGAUGAUCAGCCACACUGGGACUGAGACACGGCCCAGACUCCUACGGGAGGCAGCAGUGGGGAAUCUUAGACAAUGGGGGAAACCCUGAUCUAGCCAUGCCGCGUGAGCGAUGAAGGCCUUAGGGUUGUAAAGCUCUUUCAGCUGGGAAGAUAAUGACGGUACCAGCAGAAGAAGCCCCGGCUAACUCCGUG
rnacentral:rRNA from 1 species